AUUGAACGCUGGCGGCAGGCCUAACACAUGCAAGUCGAGCGGAGCGGCGGACGGGCGAGUAAUGCCUAGGAAUCUGCCUGGUAGAGGGGGAGAACGUCCGGCAACGGGCGCUAAUACCGCAUACUAUCAGAUGAGCCUAGCGGGGAUUAGCUAGUUGGGGGGGUAAAGGCCUACCAAGGCGACGAUCCCUAGCUGGUCUGAGAGGAUGACCAGCCAAACUGGAACUGAGACACGGUACAAACGCCUACGGUAGGCAGCAGUGGGGAAUAUUGCACAAUGGGCGCAAGCCUGAUGCAGCCAUGCCGCGUGUAUGAAGAAGGCCUUCGGGUUGUAAAGUACUUUCAGCGGGGAGGCGUUACCCGCAGAAGAAGCACCGGCUAACUCCGUGCCAGCCGCCGCGGUAAUUC
rnacentral:rRNA from 1 species